GGAGAUAUGGCCGAGUGGUCUAAGGCGCCGUCUUAAGGCGGCGGUCUUCGGGCGUGGGUUUGAAUCCCACUGUCUUCA
rnacentral:tRNA from 1 species